UACGAAGGGGGCUAGCGUUGCUCGGAUUGACUGGGCGUAAAGGGCGCGUAGGCGGUUCGUACAGUCAGACGUGAAAUUCCUGGGCUCAACCUGGGGGCUGCGUUUGAUACGUGCGGACUUGAGUUCGGAAGAGGGUCGUGGAAUUCCCAGUGUAGAGGUGAAAUUCGUAGAUAUUGGGAAGAACACCGGUGGCGAAGGCGGCGACCUGGUCCGAUACUGACGCUGAGGCGCGAAAGCGUGGGGAGCAAACAGG
rnacentral:rRNA from 1 species